rnacentral:misc_RNA from 1 species
UCACCGUAUCAAGCUUGGCUUGUUGUUGGGUCCUUUGUCACCUGGUGACAGGCCCAAAAGACAAUGACCGGUGUCAUACAGACUCUAUUUGCAACGAGCUGAUCACAGCACGCAUCUGGCAGUCGUGUGGCCUGGCCCUCACCCCUUUCUUUCUCAA